rfam:Propionibacterium acnes JCM 18916 DNA, contig: contig00001.
GCGGACGUGGCUCAGUUGGUAGAGCAUCACCUUGCCAAGGUGAGGGUCGCGGGUUCGAGUCCCGUCGUCCGCU